rnacentral:rRNA from 1 species
UACGUAGGGUGCAAGCGUUGUUCGGAAUCACUGGGCGUAAAGGGCGCGUAGGCGGCCGAUCAAGUCGGGGGUGAAAGCCUGUGGCUCAACCACAGAAUUGCCUUCGAUACUGUUUGGCUUGAGACCGGAAGAGGUAAGUGGAACUGCGAGUGUAGAGGUGAAAUUCGUAGAUAUUCGCAAGAACACCAGUGGCGAAGGCGGCUUACCGGUCCAGUUCUGACGCUGAGGCGCGAAAGCGUGGGGAGCAAACAGG